rnacentral:rRNA from 1 species
UACGUAGGGACCGAGCGUUGUCCGGAUUCAUUGGGCGUAAAGAGCUCGUAGGCGGCCACUCAAGUCGAAUGUGAAACCUCGAGGCUUAACCUCGAGCCUGCAUUCGAUACUGGGCGGCUAGAGUCUGGUAGGGGGGAUCUGGAAUUCCUGGUGUAGCGGUGGAAUGCGCAGAUAUCAGGAGGAACACCGGUGGCGAAGGCGGGUCUCUGGGCCGAAAUUGACGCUGAGGAGCGAAAGCGUGGGGAGCAAACAGG